GAUGAACGCUGGCGGCGUGCCUAAUACAUGCAAGUCGAGCGAACAGACGAGGAGCUUGCUCCUCUGACGUUAGCGGCGGACGGGUGAGUAACACGUGGAUAACCUACCUAUAAGACUGGGAUAACUUCGGGAAACCGGAGCUAAUACCGGAUAAUAUAUUGAACCGCAUGGUUCAAUAGUGAAAGACGGUUUUGCUGUCACUUAUAGAUGGAUCCGCGCCGCAUUAGCUAGUUGGUAAGGUAACGGCUUACCACGGCAACGAUGCGUAGCCGACCUGAGAGGGUGAUCGGCCACACUAGAACUGAGACACGGACCCGACUACUACGAGAGGCAGCAGUAGGGAAUCUUCCGCAAUGGGGGAAAGCCUGACGGAGCAACGCCGCGUGAGAGAUGAAGGUCUUGGGAUCGUAAAACUCUGUUAUUAGGGGAGAACAAAUGUGUAAGUAACUAUGCACAUCUUGACGGUACCUAAUCAGAAAGCAACGGCUAACUACGUG
rnacentral:rRNA from 1 species